GACGAACGCUGGCGGCGUGCUUAACACAUGCAAGUCGAACGGAAAGGCCCUGCUUUUGUGGGGUGCUCGAGUGGCGAACGGGUGAGUAACACGUGAGUAACCUGCCUUGACUUUGGGAUAACUUCAGGAAACUGGGGCUAAUACCGGAUAGGAGCUCCUGCUGCAUGGUGGGGGUUGGAAAGUUUCGGCGGUUGGGGAUGGACUCGCGGCUUAUCAGCUUGUUGGUGGGGUAGUGGCUUACCAAGGCUUUGACGGGUAGCCGGCCUGAGAGGGUGACCGGCCACAUUGGGACUGAGAGACGGCCCAGACUCCUACGGGAGGCAGCAGUGGGGAAUAUUGCACAAUGGGCGGAAGCCUGAUGCAGCAACGCCGCGUGCGGGAUGACGGCCUUCGGGUUGUAAACCGCUUUCGCCUGUGACGAAGCGUGAGUGACGGUAAUGGGUAAAGAAGCACCGGCUAACUACGUG
rnacentral:rRNA from 1 species